rnacentral:rRNA from 1 species
CUACGGGCGGCAGCAGUCGAGAAUCUUCCGCAAUGGACGAAAGUCUGACGGAGCGACGCCGCGUGCGGGAUGAAGGCCUUCGGGUUGUAAACCGCUGUCAGUGGGGAGGAAAUGCAUCAGGGUUCUCCCUGGUGUUUGACCGAUCCGCAGAGGAAGCGCAGGCUAAGUUCGUGCCAGCAGCCGCGGUAACACGAACUGCGCGAACGUUAUUCGGAAUCACUGGGCUUAAAGAGUUCGUAGGCGGCCUUUCAAGUCGGGUGUGAAAUCCCUCAGCUCAACCGAGGAAUUGCGCCUGGUACUGUUGGGCUUGAGGGGGAUAGGGGUGAGCGGAACUGAUGGUGGAGCGGUGAAAUGCGUUGAUAUCAUCAGGAACACCGGUGGCGAAGGCGGCUCACUGGAUCUCUUCUGACGCUGAGGAACGAAAGCUAGGGGAGCGAACGGGAUUAGAUACCCCAGUAGUC